CUGGAGGUCUAAGAAAGUAGAGCCAAUGAAGUCAAAGGGGCUCUAUUGAUACUGUCCUCCUACAUUAAAUGGUAGAAAAUAGCUACCAUGGCUUCUGCAAGAUGGAGUCAGGAUCUGCUUAAUCUACCAACAAUC
rnacentral:snoRNA from 1 species